UGGGGAAUCUUGCGCAAUGGGCGAAAGCCUGACGCAGCGACGCCGCGUGGGCGACGAAGGCCUUCGGGUUGUAAAGCCCUGUGGGGAGGGACGAAGCGCCGCGGGGUGAACAAUCCCGCGGUCUGACGGUACCUCCUUAGCAAGCACCGGCUAACUCUGUGCCAGCAGCCGCGGUAAGACAGAGGGUGCAAACGUUGCUCGGAAUGACUGGGCGUAAAGCGCGUGUAGGUGGUUCCGCCAGUCUGGUGUGAAAGCCCGGGGCUCAACCCCGGAAGCGCAUUGGAUACUACGGAGCUUGAGUCCUGAAGAGGAGAGCGGAAUUCCCGGUGUAGAGGUGAAAUUCGUAGAUAUCGGGAGGAACACCAGUGGCGAAGGCGGCUCUCUGGACAGGUACUGACACUGAGACGCGAAAGCGUGGGUAGCAAACAG
rnacentral:rRNA from 1 species